UACGUAGGUGGCAAGCGUUGUCCGGAUUUACUGGGCGUAAAGAGCGCGCAGGCGGUCGUUCAAGUCGCGUGUGAAAGCCCCCGGCUCAACUGGGGAGGGUCACGCGAUACUGAUCGACUGGAAGGCAGGAGAGGGUAGUGGAAUUCCCGGUGUAGUGGUGAAAUGCGUAGAUAUUCGGAAGAACACCAGUGGCGAAGGCGACUUACUGGACGAUUGUUGACGCUGAGGUGCGAAAGCGUGGGGAGCAAACAGG
rnacentral:rRNA from 1 species